rfam:Deltaproteobacteria bacterium RIFCSPLOWO2_12_FTLL_43_16 rifcsplowo2_12_scaffold_1380, whole genome shotgun sequence.
AGCUGGGUCUUGCGCAAUAGAAAGUUGCAAACCCCGCCAGGUCCGGAAGGAAGCAACGGUAGUAACAUAUUCUAUGUGCCGCAAGGGUGCCUAGCUAUC